CCUACGGGGGGCAGCAGUGGGGAAUAUUGGACAAUGGGGGCAACCCUGAUCCAGCCAUGCCGCGUGUGUGAAGAAGGCCCUCGGGUUGUAAAGCACUUUCAGUGAGGAAGAACGCCUGGUGGUUAAUAUCCAUCAGGAAAGACAUCACUCACAGAAGAAGCACCGGCUAACUCCGUGCCAGCAGCCGCGGUAAUACGGAGGGUGCGAGCGUUAAUCGGAAUUACUGGGCGUAAAGCGCGCGUAGGUGGCUUGAUAAGCCGGUUGUGAAAGCCCCGGGCUCAACCUGGGAACGGCAUCCGGAACUGUCAAGCUAGAGUGCAGGAGAGGAAGGUAGAAUUCCCGGUGUAGCGGUGAAAUGCGUAGAGAUCGGGAGGAAUACCAGUGGCGAAGGCGGCCUUCUGGACUGACACUGACACUGAGGUGCGAAAGCGUGGGUAGCAAACAGGAUUAGAUACCCGAGUAGUC
rnacentral:rRNA from 1 species